rnacentral:rRNA from 1 species
GAUGAACGCUGGCGGCGUGCUUAACACAUGCAAGUCGAGCGAGAAGUUUUGAAGAGAUUCUUCGGAUGAAAUUUAAAAUGGAAAGCGGCGGACGGGUGAGUAACGCGUAGGCAACCUGCCCCAUACACAGGGAUAGCAUUUGGAUACGAAUAUUAAUACCUUAUGAAAUUUAACUAGUGCAUGCUAGGUAGGUCCAAGAUUUAUCGGUAUGGGAUGGGCCUGCGUCUGAUUAGCUAGUUGGUGAGGUAACGGCUCACCACGGCGACGAUCAGUAACCGACCUGAGAGGGUGAGCUGCCACAUUGGAACUGAGACACGGUCCAAGCUCCUACGGGAAGGAGCAGAAGGGAAUAGUGCACAAGGGGGGAAACCCUGAUGCGUCAACGCCGCGUGAACGAUGAAUGCCUUUGAGGCGUAAAGUUCUGUUCUAGGGGAUGAAAACUGACAGUAACCUAGGAGAAAGCCCCGGCUAACUCCGUG